rnacentral:tRNA from 1 species
UAUAUCUUGGUGUAAGAGGCACAAAAGUUUUUGAUAUUUUGAGUAAUAGUUUAAAUCUAUUGGAUAUAA